rnacentral:tmRNA from 1 species
GGGGGCGAAUUGGUCUCGACUGAAUGGAGGAUGACUUGGUUGCGCGCCGCAGUUAGUCGGUUGGCUGCGUAAAAAGCCGACUAAAAAACAAAUGCUGAAGAUUAUAACGACAGCGACUACGCUAUGGCUGCUUAAUUAAAAGCGCCCCGACGUUUCUUGACGCCGAUAGGGAAAAGGUCGGACAAUAUCGGAUAAGCGGUUGCCGGGUCUGUUGAAAGCCGGCGAUUGACGAAAAUCAAAUUCAAAUAGCGACCGGAGUUCGUCGGAAAGACCGCCGGAAGCGAAACUAAUUUUCCGACUACGCGCGUAGAAGCCACUUCGGAUUUCAUCUCAGGACGCGGGUUCGAUUCCCGCCGCCUCCACCA